UGCAAUCCAUGGCUUUGCAAUUCUUGCAAAGGAAUUACUAGAAAAAACUCAGGACAUGACUGUGUAAUUCAGUGGUAGGAUAUUGUAAUCAUCCAAGGGAGGCAGGAUCAGAAUUCAAGCCCAGGAAAGAACCAGAAGAAUGGCUGGCUCGCAGGAACAACUAUAGCACUCGGAAAGAGGCCAGGAGAUCCCAUAUUGAGGUUAACUCCGUGCCCACCCUCAGAUCCUCAACUCAUGCUUGAAGCAUCACAAGUAAUGGGCUGGAAGCCUUAGAAGCCACGACAUUGGGGCUUUCUGUCUAGAUACAACUCAAGCUGCCCAAAAGGAAGAAACCUGUCUUCAGAGAGGGACAUGGCUGUAGCCAGAAAACUGAAGUCCUGCAGGGUCCAGGCUCACAGGCUCAUUAUGUGGACCAUACUGGCCUGGAACUGCUGUUGUCAGCCACCCUGGUGCCGGGGAUUACAG